UACGUAGGGUGCGAGCGUUAACCGGAAUUACUGGGCGUAAAGCGCGCGCAGGCGGUUUGGCAAGUCAGAUGGGAAAUCCCCGGGCUUAACCUGGGAAUGGCAGUUGGGACUGCAAGGCUGGAGUGUGGCAGAGGAGACUGGAAUUCCUGGUGUAGCAGUGAAAUGCGUAGAUAUCAGGAGGAAUACCGAUGGCGAAGGCAGGUCUCUGGGCUGACACUGACGCUCAUGCACGAAAGCGUGGGGAGCAAACAGG
rnacentral:rRNA from 1 species